UUACUUUCUAAGUUUAGUCGACAUUUUUCUUUGCUUAAAUUUGGAGGUUUUGAUAUCUAGGCAUUUCAUAAAUAGCUUAAAUAGUUCUUUAGUUUUGGGAAUUCCAUAUUCUGAUUUUUGAGGUAACUUUUUUACCUUUGUUUAGAUGCUUAUUCUUUGUUCUCUGUGUCUGUUAGUUUGUUUUUGAACCGAAACUAACUUCUUGUUCUUAAAUUCAUUCUUUUGAUUUGAUUUUUUGAAUUUCAAGUUUAAUCCUAUUUUUAAUUUCUAUUGUUUAAAUAGUGUGUGCCAAGAAUGUUGUGAGAAUGCAAUUUAUUAGGUUCAUGUAGUGGACCUCCAUGAUUUCUUCAUUAGUAUCCUUGCUUGACGUCUGGCAAACAUUGAAUUAGUUGAAGCAGACCUCGAUUUGGCUCCAGAUCCCAGUCUCAACAUCUCGAGUGGUCAUCAGGUAAAUGGAGUAGGACAAAUACAAACUCUUCAUAAAGAAAAAAAAAAAAAAAAAAACAAUGAAUCAAUAUUUUCAUAUGCAGUGAGUAUUAUUUAUGAGUUGCUUCUCAUGUUCUAUGAAUAGCCGUGACAUGAGGAAUAAAAGCAUUUAGCAACUUGGACUAAUUCUAUAUUUGUUCCUUCCAGAUAAGGGGAAAAAGGAUGUGAAAGAAUAUAUUUUUCUUCUUAGUUGAUGAAUCUCAUUUAUUGAUCAAUAUGUGAUAUUCCAACUCCUCAUCACUAUUGAAAUCCAUAUGAUAUUGCGAUUUAUUCGUUUUUGCCUAAACUCAAUUACUCAAACAAAACAAGAUCUUCAUUCUUUAUUUGUUUUUUUCCUUUUCACUAUUUUAACUGAGUAAAUAUCAUUUCUUAAUGCAUUUGGUUAAUUUUGGGGUUUCACUUUCACGCAAUACCCUAUACCGAAGGAGACAAGUACCAUGGCGCAAAAGCAACUCUCAAUGUUUGGUAACCUAAAAUACAACAGCAUCAUAACGAGUUCAAUUUGUCCCAAAUUUGGUUACUAGGUGGUUCAUUUGGUGAAGAUCUCAAUAGCAUUAAAGCUGGUUGGUAGGUAUAUUUUUCUCCAAAUUACUUGGUCGAUCAUAAUUUGUUGCAUUCAUCUAACGGAUUAGAAUGCAUGUUAUUUCAAGUUAGCCCUGAUCUCUACGGGGAUAAAAACAUAACCAUUUUUUAAUACAUACCUAUAGACAAUUUAAAAAAGAAUGCCAGCUCAUAUUAAAUAGAAGUUAAUUAUAAGUACAAAAACUCAAAGAAAGCAUUUAAUGGAGGUUCUUAAUAGUUAGUCUUGUGUUUUGGAACAUGCUUAUAUUAUGUGACAAUUAUGCUUCUAUUCCAAUCCAAUUUAGCACAUAGAAUAAAAUCUUCAAUUGGCACCCGAUGUCGGAUGUAAAUGAUAACUGGAGCUAAUUGGUUAUAUGUAGAGGAAAUUUUACUAUUAGUUCAUCUCAAGCAUAAAUAAAAUAGUUAAUUCCUAAGCAAGUUGGAGUAUAGUACGAAUCAUGCUGUAAAUUUCUCUGUGAAAAUGAUUUUCUUAUAUUUGUAGUUUUUUUUCAUGGAACAAGCUUUGAGAAAUCGUUUGGCAAUGAUGAGAGAAGAGAAAGAAAAUCCGAUUUUUGAGAAUUCUUAAAAUGAAAGAACGACGAGAAUCGAUUCCCUAAAAAAGAAAGCACUGAACGUGUCUUCAAAGUCAAGCAUAGAGUGGUGUUAGUGGCAACUUUGUUUCAUUUGAGGAUAUUCGAGAUGCUAAUGAGCUACAAGCUAUUAAGGCAUUUCGACGAGCCUUGAUGCUAAUUGCCAAACAAGUUUGAUGAUUAUCAUAUGAUGUUGAGGUUAUUAUACAACACUUUUGCUACAUUUCCUCAAAUGUUGCAUGUACGAAUGGAAAUAUAAAGUGUAUCCUGGUUUAACAUGUACAUGUCUCGAUUUUGUCCUCAUUACUAUGGAGGUAACUAGACAUCCCUUCCUCCUUUAGUAGGACAAUUUAUGAUUUUGUUGCAUUACUUUAUAGUUUUUCCUAUAUUGCAGUCGGUGGUUAAGAUUUUGAGAACAUUUUAGUAUAUAGUUGGAAAAGUAUCAACUAUUUGAAUUUUUAUUGAUAAUUAUCCUGAAGUAACAUUUCGAUCUUUUAUUUGAUCAGAGAUAUUAGGUUUUGUUUAGUCUUGGUAGUGUAAUAUAUUGUGUCAUCCAAAUGUUGCAGAUAUUUUAUAAAAUAUUUAUCAUCAAGAUGGUCCAGGUAUUAUGCUACUGUAGAAUAUUGUAAAGAGUUCUCUUGAUCCCAGGGUCGCCACUAAGAUACAUGUAUGUUGCUAUUUCUUCAUUUUUCCAUCUGGAAACAUUAUUUUUCUCACUUAAAUGGCCAACUUUAAUUACUUAGUCUAUCUUUUUUCUGGAAUAUCUCACAUGUUCUUGGAAACAAAUAUAAGAACAAGUUGCUUGAAAUAAACGAUACCAAGUGCAAAACAAUGAGAACCGUUGUUGCAAAUUACGAACAUUGAAAUUUAUUUCGAGAUUCUGAAGUAAAUUUUUGGGUGUGUGUAGUGAUCAGAAUUCUUCGAUGGAACAUAUAUCUUUGUAGACUAAGGGGUUUGCCUUCGGUUAGAUAAAGGACCAUGAAAAAUUCCCCGAGAUACAAAAGGUUCUUCCUAACAUGGGAGCUAUUAAAUUGAUCUACAAAGAUAAUAUAUAAAUACUUGUCUUAUAAUUUUGAUCAUGUUAAAAAAUAAUAAAUGGCUCGAAAUCAUGUUGCAGAUAGUGCUUGAUGGUGAAGUACGACUGCCAGGAAGGUGGUUGAAAAUCUUAACAACGACGGAGAGAUAGUUUAUGCUAAGCCCCACUACUAGAUUGUAUAGACUAUGUCUGUUGUGCAUAUGAUUAGGCACAACUACACAAUAUUUCUGUUUUAUGUGAGAUUUUGUUUUUAUUUGGUCGUUGAAGCAGGUAAAAGGCAGUGACACCUCAACUGUUGAAUUUGUUUCUGAAGCUGAAGAUAUUUCUUUCACCAAAACCUAUUAGGAGUUACUCGCAUCUUUGAUUGACUCCUGUUUGUGAGGAGGUAUGGUCAAGCCUUACAAUUUCAAGAUUAAAUAUUUAAUUAGCUACUAUUGAAAAUAAUGUUUUAUAUAAGUUUAAUUGAAACCUCCCUUAUUUAGUGUUGAUUCUGGUGGUAGCUUGUGCAAAUAUUUAAUUUGGUGCUCGUAGAUCAGUUAGUAUUUGCUUAAUUGCAACACAAGUGCAAAAUUAUCAAUUGCUUGAUAUCGUCUCUUUGAUUGGUUUAAAAGCAUCUGUAUAUACCCUAAAAAGGUGUCCAGUUUCAUGAAAUUCAAAUUUAGAUCAGAUUUUUAUAGGUCGGGUUGUGCAAUCUUUUGCUACUAAAAAAAUCAAGUAAAGUGACAUUAUUUAAGAGUUCAUUGGUUGUUUGAUAAUUAUUAUUUAUAAUGUCUAUCAUUUUAUUUAUGAUAUAAGGUACAAAUUCUUCAUGAAAUAUAACUAAGUACACAGUUUCUUGUAAGAAAUAUUUUUUCCUAUAAAACUAAUUUUCCUUACUUAAGAAAGGGAUAUCUUUACCAUAUACAGUGUGAACACAGCAUAGAAAAGUUUUGACACUUUCUCAAUCCCUCACAAAAAUUAAUGUGGAGGAUCAACCUUUCUCUUUUGAUUAUCUCAUGUCCUUGUUUCUCUAGUUAAAGCUAAUGGAAACUCUAGCUUGGUAACUUAUCACGAUAUGAUGAGUAUGUUCCUAUGGUUGACACAGUUGUUGAUUCUGGAUGGAAAAAGCAGACAUCACUUUCAAAACCUUAUAUUUUUAAAGGUUAGUUGCUUUAGAAGUUCCACUUUUGUAUCUAUCUCCAUACAUAAUAUUUGAAUCAGCCUACAAUCUUCUCAUGCUUAUUUAUUCAUCUAAUACUUGUUUCGAAGACCUAGGGGCUAUCCUUUUCUUCGGUUGAACUCAUCUUUCUGUCAUUGCAAACGUCGCCUUAGGUGCUCAUUUUUAUUCUUACAACUCUCAUCAUAUGGUGAUCAUGUUUAGAGGUUAUCUAUGAUUAACUUAUGAUUGUUCUUUUGUUAAUAGCUAUGCCUUAAUAACCUUUUGUUAUAUCCUGAUAUUAAAUGACUGCUAUAUUGGAGAUAUAAGAUUAGCUAUGUCUAAAUAAGAUUACAAUGACACUAGAUUAGUAACUAUUUUUUGAUUGCAUAGUAUAUUAU
rnacentral:lncRNA from 1 species